CACAAGAAGGUGACCGCCCACCUCCACCAAAUGGAUGCCCUCCACCUUCAGAAGGUAAAAGGCAAGGUGCUAGAGGUCCUGGAGGAAGAAGGCCACCUCCUAAACGCAGGAACUAACCGAUACUCACGAUGACUCCUUCGUAAUAGAUCGCAAUAAAAAAAAUCAAAUCUUU